rnacentral:rRNA from 1 species
CGGGUGAGUAACGCGUGGAAAACCUGCCGUAUACUGUGGGAUAACACUUAGAAAUAGGUGCUAAUACCGCAUAAGCGCACAGCUUCGCAUGAAGUGGUGUGAAAAACUCUGGUGGUAUACGAUGGUUCCGCGUCUGAUUAGCUUGUUGGUGGGGUAAUGGCUCACCAAGGCGACGAUCAGUAGCCGGCCUGAGAGGGUGAACGGCCACAUUGGGACUGAGACACGGCCCAAACUCCUACGGGAGGCAGCAG